rnacentral:piRNA from 1 species
UGCACUGGAAGGUAAUGGCUGAC